rnacentral:rRNA from 1 species
CCUACGGGGGGCUGCAGUGAGGAAUAUUGGUCAACGGGCGGAAGCCUGAACCAGCCAUGCCGCGUGCAGGAAGACGGCCCUACGGGUUGUAAACUGCUUUUCCGGGGGAAGAAUAAGGCCCACGUGUGGGCCGAUGCCGGUACCCCGGGAAUAAGGAUCGGCUAACUCCGUGCCAGCAGCCGCGGUAAUACGGAGGAUCCGAGCGUUAUCCGGUUUUAAUGGGGCGAAGGGGUGCGUAGGCGGGCGCGUAGAAAUGCGGGGGCUGAACCUUCGAACGGCCGUUGAUACUGGGCGCCUUGGAUUCGGUCGAGGCGGGCGGAAUGCGACAUGUAGCGGUGAAAUGCUUAGAUAUGUCGCAGAACGCCGAUUGCGAAGGCAGCUCGCCGGGCCGAGAUUGACGCUGAGGCACGAAAGCGUGGGGAUCGAACAGGAUUAGAUACCCUGGUAGUC